GUUAUGUAAGAACUUU
rnacentral:sRNA from 1 species